CCUCCCGCUCCCCCUCCCUCCCUCCCUCUCUCUCCUCACGGACUCUCUCUCUCUAGUUCGCGCGCGCCUUCCCUCUCACUAGGGGAAGUGACAGGGGCAGAGAGGGAGAGGGAAUCCGCGCGCGCGCCGCCAACCGCCUGCUCCGCAACCCCAGCCAACCCGGGGAGGGGACACUUAAUUCUUCUUCUUCUUUUUUCGGGGGAGGAGGGCUCGCGUGUAUGUCUGUUGGCGGUUGGGAGGUGGUGGUUGGUUACGGGUGGUAUAAGGUAAGAGAGGAGGGAGGUUGUAUUUGCAUAUUUGUCACCCGCUCGCUGAUUGGUCAGAAGGCAGGGUGAGCGGUAGAGUCAGUGGGUGGUUGGCAGCGGGGGAGAGUUGAAAAAGGGGAAGACUUUUGCCCGCCCCAUUUUUUUGCGUGGGGGGAGUGGGCGGGGCAAAGGACUUGGCAAGAGAGGGGGCAGGAGAGGCUCAGGAAAUCCUGCUGCAGCUGUCUUGCCCCAGCUAACGGCCUUCAAUUUAGAAGGUCAGUCUACAAAUCAGACGUUGCUGGGCCUGUCACCCCUAUCCAUUCUGACCAGGGCUGAUGGAAGUUGGAGUCCAACGCCAUCUGGAGGAGCACAGACUCAAAGGAAAAAAUGAUAAACCUGGAAAUGAAUGAGACCUUCAUCAGGUGAACGAAUGGGAGGAGACACACGCCAGUGGUGGGCAGGUCCAGAGGCAAAAGUGGGUGGAGCAACAGAAGUGACACCUUCCUUUGUACAGUAGGCUACAGUCCAGCCAGGCAAAAGUCAAGACGUUUCUAUCCACACACCUCUCCAUCCUGGGAAACAAGAUGCAUUGUUACAUGCUUUUAAAUCUCUUUUAGUAUUUUUAACUUUUGUAUGUUUAAAAAUAUGGUUGUGAUUUUUUCUUGA